GACGAAGGUGGCAAGCGUUGUUCGGAAUUACUGGGCUUAAAGAGCACGUAGGCGGCCCGUUAAGCGUCUUGUGAAAUCCCUCGGCUCAACCGAGGAAUUGCUUGGCGAACUAGCGGGCUCGAGGUAGGUAGAGGCGCGCGGAACUCUUGGUGGAGCGGUGAAAUGCGUAGAUAUCAAGGGGAACGCCAGCGGCGAAAGCGGCGCGCUGGGCCUAUUCUGACGCUGAGGUGCGAAAGCUAGGGGAGCGAACGGGAUUAGAUACCCGCGUA
rnacentral:rRNA from 1 species